UACGUAGGGUGCAAGCGUUGUCCGGAAUUAUUGGGCGUAAAGAGCUCGUAGGCGGUUUGUCGCGUCGAAUGUGAAAUCCCGGGGCUCAACCCCGGGUCUGCAUUCGAUACGGGCAGACUAGAGUUCGGUGGGGGGAGUCUGGAAUUCCUGGUGUAGCGGUGAAAUGCGCAGAUAUCAGGAGGAACACCGGUGGCGAAGGCGGGACUCUGGGCCGAUACUGACGCUGAGGAGCGAAAGCGUGGGGAGCAAACAGG
rnacentral:rRNA from 1 species